UCCGAGUUGACCCCGGCAGUCUCCCAUGAGUCCCCACCAUCACGUGCUGGCAACAUGGAACGAGGGUUGCGCUCGUUGCGGGACUUAACCCAACAUCUCACGACACGAGCUGACGACAACCAUGCACCACCUGUGCACGGCCCUUACGGACCCCGCAUCUCUGCGAGAUUUCCGUGCAUGUCAAGCCUAGGUAAGGUGGGGAUGACGUAUAGGAGCUCGAC
rnacentral:misc_RNA from 1 species